UAGAGAUCAUCAUCCAAUGUAAUAAAUAAUGAAUCUGGUCAGGUCUUAAUUGAAGCAGCCAUAAGUUAUAUUAUGUGUGGAUGUUGAUUUCUAAAG
rnacentral:SRP_RNA from 1 species